GACGAACGCUGGCGGCGUGCUUAACACAUGCAAGUCGAACGAAAAGAGGGAAAGAGCUUGCUCUUUCCGGAAUUGAGUGGCAAACGGGUGAGUAACACGUAAACAACCUGCCUUCAGGAUGGGGACAACAGACGGAAACGACUGCUAAUACCGAAUAAGUUCCAAGGGCCGCAUGGCCCAUGGAAGAAAAGGUGGCCUCUACCUGUAAGCUAUCGCCUGAAGAGGGGUUUGCGUCUGAUUAGCUGGUUGGCGGGGUAACGGCCCACCAAGGCGACGAUCAGUAACCGGUCUGAGAGGAGGAACGGCCACACUGGAACUGAGACACGGUCCAGACUCCUAAGGGAGGCAGCAGUGGGGAAUCUUCCGCAAUGGGCGAAAGCCUGACGGGGCAACGCCGCGUGAGUGAUGACGGCCUUCGGGUUGUAAAACUCUGUGAUCCGGGACGAAAAGGCAGAGUGCGAAGAACAAACUGCAUUGACGGUACCGGAAAAGCAAGCCACGGCUAACUACGUG
rnacentral:rRNA from 1 species